CACGUAGGGAGCAAGCGUUGUCCGGAUUUAUUGGGCGUAAAGAGCUCGUAGGCGGUUCAGUAAGUCAGGUGUGAAACCUCCAGGCUCAACCUGGAGACGCCACCUGAUACUGCUGUGACUUGAGUCCGGUAGGGGAGCGUGGAAUUCCUGGUGUAGCGGUGAAAUGCGCAGAUAUCAGGAGGAACACCAGCGGCGAAGGCGGCGCUCUGGGCCGGAACUGACGCUGAGGAGCGAAAGCGUGGGUAGCAAACAGG
rnacentral:rRNA from 1 species